rnacentral:rRNA from 1 species
UACGUAGGUGGCAAGCGUUGUCCGGAAUUACUGGGUGUAAAGGGAGCGCAGGCGGGAAGCCAAGUCAGCUGUGAAAACUACGGGCUUAACUUGUAGACUGCAGUUGAAACUGGUUUUCUUGAGUGAAGUAGAGGUUGGCGGAAUUCCGAGUGUAGCGGUGAAAUGCGUAGAUAUUCGGAGAAACACCGGUGGCGAAGGCGGCCAACUGGGCUUUAACUGACGCUGAGGCUCGAAAGUGUGGGGAGCAAACAGG